GACGAACGCUGGCGGCGUGCUUAACACAUGCAAGUCGAACGGAAAGGCCCUGCUUUUGUGGGGUGCUCGAGUGGCGAACGGGUGAGUAACACGUGAGUAACCUGUCCCUGACUUUGGGAUAACUUCAGGAAACUGGGGCUCAUACCGGAUAGGAGCUCCUGCUGCACGGUGGGGGUUGGAAAGUUUCGGCGGUUGGGGAUGGACUCGCGGCUUAUCCGCUUGUUGGUGGGGUAGUGGCUUACCAAGGCUAUGACGGGUAGCCGGCCUGAGAGGGUGACCGGCCACAUUGGGACUGAGAUACGGCCCAGACUCCUACGGGAGGCAGCAGUGGAGAAUAUUGCACAAUGGGCGGAAGCCUGAUGCAGCAACGCCGCGUGCGGGAUGACGGCCUUCGGGUUGUAAACCGCUUUCGCCUGUGACGAAGCGUGAGUGACGGUAAUGGGUAAAGAAGCACCGGCUAACUACGUG
rnacentral:rRNA from 1 species